GACGAACGCUGGCGGCGUGCUUAACACAUGCAAGUCGAACGGAAAGGCCCGGCUCUUGCGGGGUGCUCGAUUGGCGAACGGGUGAGUAACACGUGAGUAACCUGCCCUUGACUUUGGGAUAACUUCAGGAAACUGGGGCUAUUAUCGGAUAGGAGCUCUUGCAGCAUGUGGGGGGUUGGAAAGUUUCGGCGGUUGGGGAUCGAUUCGCGGCAUAUCCGCUUGUUGGUGGAGUAGUGGCUUUCCAAGGCUAUGACGGGUAGCCGGCCUGGGAGGGUGGACGGCGACAAUGGGACUGAGGUACGGACCAGACGGCAACGGGAGGCAGCGGUGGGGAGUAUUGCACAAUAGGCCGAAGCGUGAGGCAGCAGCGCCGGGUGCGGAAUGACGGCCUUCGGGGUGUAAACCGCUUUGGCCUGUGACGAAGCGUGAGUGACGGUAAUGGGUAAAGAAGCACCGGCUAACUACGUG
rnacentral:rRNA from 1 species